UAACAAGGAUUCCCCUAGUAACGGCGAGUGAAGAGGGACUAGCCCAAAAUUGUAAUCUGGCCCUUUCAGGGUCCGAGUUGUAAUCUCGAGAACUGUUUUCCGCACUAGACCAUCUACAAGUCUGUUGGAAUAUGGCUUCAUAGAGGGUGAGAAUCCCGUACAUGAGGUGGACUACUAGUGCUUUGUGAUACAGUCUCCAAGAGUCGAGUUGUUUGGGAAUGCAGCUCAAAGUGGGUGGUAAAUUCCAUCUAAGGCUAAAUAUUGGCGAGAGACCGAUAGCGAACAAGUACCGUGAGGGAAAGAUGAAAAGCACUUUGGAAAGAGAGUUAUCAGUACGUGAAAUUGUUGAAAGGGAAACGCUUGAAGUCAGUCUGGUACUGAGUGGUUCAGCCUUUCGGUGCAUUCCACUCUGAACCGGCCAACAUCAGUUCCUAAUGUCGGAUAAGGGUGGGGGAAAUGUAGCAGUCUAGGCUGUGUUAUAGUCCUYCCACUGGAUACGAUUUUYGGGACUGAGGUAUGCAGUGAGCCUUUGGCGGGUCAUUAGACCUUCCUC
rnacentral:rRNA from 1 species